AUAAAGGUAAUGAGGCCUUCAAGAAAGGAGAUUUCAUCAAUGCUAUUCAUUUUUACACCAAAGGAAUUAAAAUGAACUGCAAUGAGAAAGAACUGAAGGCCAAACUGUACAACAACAGGGCUAUUGCACAUUUUAAACUUGGAAAUCACCAGUAUAUUCACUAGGGGAUGCAGAAGCAGCCAUUGAGUUAACUCCAACUUUCCUUGAGGCAAUUAUGAGAGCUAAAAAGAUUUGACAAACUAGUGAAUGAAACAGCUCUGUGAUCACUGCGCAAGGAUCAACGGUGGUAAAUCUUGUCUUCAUCUUGGAGACACAAACAAAAUAAAACACGAUGGAUAUCAGAGGCUAAUGACACCGAAACGCCUUAUUUUGCAGAUCUUCUUCUUAAACUUCGUCCACCAUUUUGGAUUUCCCUGGUGCACAUUUGAUUUGAAAACACUGCUGGUUUUAUUUGAUGGCGACUGCAGAAGGUGUUUCACAUGUUCUUGUGUGUACAUACAGGGAAUAACACAGGGAAAUACUUGGGGUUGGUGGGAACUAAUUCCACCAAUAGUUUUAUACCAGAAGCAUGGUUCAUGGUUGCUGCAAGUUCUGGGAAAAGUCAGGGAUAUAAAGAUUUCCUCAAGGUCAGAGAAUAUACAUCUUUGAAAGAAGUCUGGCAAAAUUUGAAGUAAUUAUCUUGCAUUUUAAUUGGACCCUUUAUGAUUAUGUUACGUUUACAAAAAUUGAGAGAUAUAUAUGCCCAACUUCUUAUGAAAGUUCUUAUCCGUAACUCUGGCUGUAAGCAUGUUUAACAGUCUGCUUUGGUGAUAAUCACCUCUUUUUUUACAAAUAAUAAGUAAAUAUAUAUUUCAGUUUACAAAAAUGAAAAAAAAUAUGCCCAGCUUGUUAUAAUGAUUAGCUAUGUAACAGUCUGCAUGAUGCACAGUCAUUGGUUGCUGUCAUAUUCAGUACUAAAUAAAAUGAUGAAUA